ACAUGCAGUGGCUUCCCAGCACAGGCAGGCAGCAAUGAGACUCUGCCAGGGGAAAGCACAGAGAUGAAGACAUCAGGACGCCAAAACAGAUGGGAGACCAUGCACACGGCAAAGCUGUGGAGAUCUGCCAGCCCCUGGAUGACAGUGGAGUGGUGGGAACUGAAGGCAUCCUUUGGGGGUAUCAGAUGGUGUGUGUGAUGUGCUGGCUCCAGCCACAGGCUUGAUUCCCAUCUGAAGUUUUCUGGCAGUGACAGCUUUUGAAAUGGAUGGAAGUACCCCAUGACGUUUUGGAAAAAUAUGACAAUAUUGUCACGUUACUUGGAGAGAUGUGGCUGGAAGUAUGAGUGAUGUCUGAAACAUCUGACCCUGAGCUGAAAUAAAGAACAGUUGAGACUUAUGUACAAGCAUUCGAGCCUCAGGUACACAGACGUGUGAGAGACUCCUAGAUAAAAUGUCUGAGGAACAAGAACUUUUUUCACGUGGGAAAGGAAGAGGUUGCAUGAAUCAUGGUAAACUUCCAACUUAGAUUUUACAGUAGUGAGGGUUGAGACAGUAGAGAUACCAUCUAGAAGUUGAUAGAAUUUUCUUUUUUUUUUUUUUUUUGAAACACAUAUCUGUGCAAAUGUUAUACUUUGGACAAAAAAAAAAGUGAGCAAAGGCAGAAUAAACCACUCUGUUUAGCAAAACAGCUGCAUGAUCUGCUAAACCCAGUCUUGUGAUGACAAGCCACAUGAAAUCUCUGCAGAUAAGUCAUCACCAGUGUCUAGUUUCCCCUGUGUCUCACUGACAAGGGGAGGGGAGGAGGAGUUUGUGUAAUUAAUAGGCAAGGGAAAAGCAGGGGACAUUUUUUAAAGUCAUCCCUGAUUACUCUCAAGUGGGUAUUGAUGGAAUGACAUCGGACAUGCUUUUAUAUUCGUAUUCCUCUGAUUAGAGGAAUUUGGACAUGAUCCAAGCAGAAGUAGAGGAUCUGCUAGGUGGUCCAGUGGUAAAGCAUCCCACCCACCGCAGCAUCCUUAGCAGGGAGGAGGAGGUGAGACAGGGGGAGACCCUCUGCUGAGGUGAGCCCCUGCACUGCCAGUGGGCAUAGAGAACAGACUCGUCCAGCCUGGGGAUUGAAACUCCACAAAGUCGAGCACCAGAUGGCAGAAGAUACAGUGGUUUACAUGUUUUGGACAGAGGGAGGUGUUGAUAACUCAAAAAAGAUAAACAUCAUGAAAUAUAAAAGGUAAGCCCUUUGCAGAACUUGGCCGGACUUCUGCAUUUCUACAGAUGUAGCCAUCUGCAAAAUGAAGAAGACAAGCACAAAGAGGAGCAUUAGGGGCUGGACAUUUUCAACACGCUGCACUUGGGAUCCUCAACUUCUCCAAAGACCACGAAGCAGAGGAAUGUGUUCUCCCCAGAAACUGACCCAGGAGCACCCUGGUCCACUGUGAGGGUGGGGGAACAGCGAGACAGAAGCCAUCAGAGGACAGAGGGAAACCGCAGGUACCUUGGGGAGUUGAGGCUGGAAAUGCUGUGCCACCUACAGCAUGUGUAGACACUUCUAUAAAUGCACGCGUAGCUGUGCAGUGGAAAGUAUCAUGAAGCUCUGCACAAUAAAGAUCAGCUUGUUCUUGGUCACAGCUGCUGGUGGGUUGCUAUUCCAGGAGAGGAAAGCCAGCUUGGAUGAAAGAACGUGUGACAGUGAGGUAACUCAACAUGGAACUUGAAAGUCCCUGUUGUGCCUGUUUGGAAGAGGAGCCAAAGCUCCCAGGCUGAGCUGGAGUCUGUACAGGAUGGAGAUGAAUCCAACCAAGAGCAGGAGGAAAGGAUGGGUACUUGGCUCACAGGCUGUCAAUAUGAUGUCUUAAGCUUCUGUGUGAAGGUGGAGCAUCACAGCUGGCAUUGAGUGGAGCAACAGGACCUUUCUGUUCUUGCUUUACCUGAAAAGCCCACCAUGCUAGGUCCUGCCUGGGGCUCCUGGAACACAUCAAGUUAGAGAUCUAAGAGUGUAAAUGUUUUCAUCUAACUGAUGACAUGCUGUUUCGUGCUCCCAUCCCUGCCCAUAUGGCCAUUACUUUAUGGAACAACAAAGGCUUGCCCAGCAGAGCACUGAAGUAUCAGAAGAUAAAUGUGUAAAAAUUUAGUAACUGCUUUCUUCUUUGCUGUGUCAUGUUACCUAUUAAUACAGACGUUAUAUCCCUGAGAAGUCUAGAAACAUAGAUAAUAUUCAGGUCCAUCAGGAAGAAUUACUGAAAACAUCUAAAAGUAUCCUUUCCAUAAACAAAAUGAAUAUGUAAGCACAUCUGGCACAGCAAUCCUUUACUGCACCAUAUUAUAAAGUUCUCCAGAGCAAUGAAAGUAGUUAAGCCAAUUGUUUCAUAUUAGUUUUAACUUUAUGCUUAGAAAACAAUCUAUGAAUGAUUUGCAUCUCAGCAAAAAGACUUCCAUAAGUGGUCACAAAAAAGGGAGAAUCCAAAUAAAAGUUCUCUCUGGCAGAACAGGAAGGAAAAAAAUACUUGAACUUGAGGAGGUGUCUGGCUGGGCAGACAGAAGAAAGCAUCAGAGGGUCAAAAUCCCCUGAAGCCAUUAGGGAAAUA